GCACCUACGGGGCGCAGCAGUGGGGAAUAUUGGGCAAUGGGCGCAAGCCUGACCCAGCAACGCCGCGUGAAGGAAGAAGGCUUUCGGGUUGUAAACUUCUUUUCUGAGGGACGAAGGAAGUGACGGUACCUCAGGAAUAAGCCACGGCUAACUACGUGCCAGCAGCCGCGGUAAUACGUAGGUGGCAAGCGUUAUCCGGAUUUAUUGGGUGUAAAGGGCGUGUAGGCGGGAAUGCAAGUCAGAUGUGAAAACUAUGGGCUCAACCCAUAGCCUGCAUUUGAAACUAUAUUUCUUGAG
rnacentral:rRNA from 1 species